rnacentral:rRNA from 1 species
CCUACGGGAGACAGCAGUAGGGAAUAUUGCACAAUGGGGGAAACCCUGAAGCAGCGACGCCGCGUGAGUGAAGAAGUUUUUCGGAUUGUAAACUCCUAUCAUCAGAGAAGAUAAUGACGGUAUCUAACUAAGAAGCACCGGCUAACUCCGUGCCAGCAGCCGCGGUAAUACGGAGGGUGCAAGCGUUAUCCGGAAUUACUGGGCGUAAAGAGCGCGUAGACGGGACAGCAAGUCCGAUGUGAAAUCCCAUGGCUUAACCAUAGAACUGCAUUUGAAACUGUGAUGCUAGAGUGUGGGAGAGGUAGGUGGAAUUCCUGGUGUAGCGGUAAAAUCCGUAGAGAUCAAGAGGAAUACU